UGAGUUCCAAUUUGUAAGUCGCUCUGGAUAAGAGCGUCUGCUAAAUGACGUAAA
rfam:Salmo salar isolate Sally breed double haploid chromosome ssa14, whole genome shotgun sequence.